AUGGAGGAGGUGGAGAAAGGGGAGGUCUUCGAGAAGAACACCAAGCCGAGGCUGGAGAGCUCGGAUGCGGCCGACAUCAUCAUCCUGGAGAUCCUGUCCCGCCUCCCCGCCAGAUCCGUCAACCGCUUCAAGUGCGUCUCCGUACCCUGGCGCUACCUCAUCACCGACCCCGCCAACCGCAAGAAGCUGCCCCAGGCCCUCGCCGGCUUCCUCUACAUGUCCUUCCACAGCGUGCACCACCACCACUUCGCCAGUGUCUCCGGCGGCGCAGCCCCGUUCGACCCUUGCCUCCCUUACCUGCAGCCAAACAAGUACAAGGACAUGGAGCAGGUAGACGCCUGCAAUGGCCUCCUUCUCUACCGCGGCUGCACCAAGAAUUUGUCCCCUUGGGAUAGGACAGAGGAUGAUUGCCGUUUUGUCGUCUGCAAUCCUGCCACUGGGAGCUGGGUGGAGCUGCCCCUCAACCUCAACCGCAAGAGCCGGCGAAAGGGCGUAGCCAUGUCGCAGGUUUGGCUUUUGAUCCGGCGGUCUCAUCCCAUUUCCAUGUUCUUCGUUUCGAGGAGGCAGACUCGUCGAGGGUGA
rnacentral:rRNA from 1 species